rnacentral:rRNA from 1 species
GAUGAACGCUGGCGGCGUGCCUAAUACAUGCGAGUCGAGCGAACGGACGAGAAGCUUGCUUCUCUGAUGUUAUCGGCGGACGGGUGAGUAACACGUGGAUAACCUACCUAUAAGACUGGGAUAACUUCGGGAAACCGGAGCUAAUACCGGAUGAUAUUUUGAACCGCAUGGUUCAAAAGUGAAAGACGGUCUUGCUGUCACUUAUAGAUGGAUCCGCGCUGCAUUAGCUAGUUGGUAAGGUAACGGCUUACCAAGGCAACGAUGCAUAGCCGACCUGAGAGGGUGAUCGGCCACACUGGAACUGAGACACGGUCCAGACUCCUACGGGAGGCAGCAGUAGGGAAUCUUCCGCAAUGGGCGAAAGCCUGACGGAGCAACGCCGCGUGAGUGAUGAAGGUCUUCGGAUCGUAAAACUCUGUUAUUAGGGAAGAACAUAUGUGUAAGUAACUGUGCACAUCUUGACGGUACCUAAUCAGAAAGCCACGGCUAACUACGUG